GAUCAUGGCUCAGGACGAACGCUGGCGGCGUGCUUAACACAUGCAAGUCGAACGCUGAAGCUCAGCUUUUGUUGGGUGGAUGAGUGGCGAACGGGUGAGUAACACGUGAGUAACCUGCCCCCUUCUUUGGGAUAACGCCCGGAAACGGGUGCUAAUACUGGAUAUUCACUUGCCUUCGCAUGGGGGUUGGUGGAAAGGGUUUUUUCUGGUGGGGGAUGGGCUCGCGGCCUAUCAGCUUGUUGGUGGGGUGAUGG
rnacentral:rRNA from 1 species